GCCCUCGUAGUAUAGUGGUAAAAUCCCCCGCUGUCACUGGGGAGUCGCAGGUUCGAUUCUCUGUCGAGGGCG
rnacentral:tRNA from 1 species